rnacentral:rRNA from 1 species
GCCUACAGCCAUACCACCCUGAACAUGCCCAAUCUUGUCUGAUAUCAGAAGCUAAGCAGGGUGGGCCUGGUUAGUACUGGGAAGGGAAAAAAAAAUGUAAAAUAGGGCCAGGGAUUUAGCUC